CUUGCAUUCACGUUCGAGACGUUGCUGGUGGUGUACUCCGCCCUCUGCUUCAGGGACCCAUUGGCGGCGGCGGUGCCGCGGCUGGAGGAGCUGACGCAGGCAACGCAGGAGCUCAAGAAACUCUUCGGCUUCGCAGGCGGGGGUGCGAAUCAGGCAUUAGAACAAACAGUCGCUGGAUCGCUUAUGGAAGUCUUCGAGUACAGCGACUCCUCCGACGACACCUACUACCCCAACGACGAGUCUGACCUGGAGGAAUGCCUGGCUAUGCCCAAUAUCCACCCCCCGCCGAUGUGCAAGACGAGGAACACAUACCCCCUUCGGCCCCGCAAACCCUCCUCCCCGAAUCCCGUCCUUGAUAGCUAUCGAGUCCCCCACCGCCUUCAGUCUCCUCGUGAAACGUAAGUGGAGUUUGAGGCGCCGGAUUGCGCUCUCCUGCCGAACUCAAACUGCAGCAGGAGUCAGAUCAGGAGGAGGCCGGAGUGGUGCAGUAAUGCGAGGUGGGGUGGGAAGAAGUGUUUGCUGCCCUCUAUCGGUGUAAUGAGUAAGUAGAUGUUAUGUUCCUAUUAUAAUAGGACGGUCUUUGAAAUUAAUCUGCAGCUUGUUUAUUUAUCAAUGGAAGUGAAUAGAUUUAUGUCAUAUUCCAGGCUCUUUGUUUUUGAGGGCGAGGGGAACUAACCGUGUAUGCAAAGAUAUUGAUAUGACUGAUUUCAUUGUGUUU